CUUGCCAUUCAGGGGCCCCUUUUCCUCCAUCUUUCUCCUGUCGCCUUCUAUUGGUUCGGUUCCCCGCAAACCUUUCACCCCUUAUCCCACCUGAUUUCUCUGAGAUUUUUAGGGUCCUUAUUUGAAAUAUCUUCCGACACCUCUGCCUCUAGCAGUUUCGGGAGUUCGUCCGGCUCAGCCCCCCAGGACCCCCACACUGUAGAUGAACCCACAUCUGGGGCUGGGCCUCGUCCGGCUUUUGCACCGGGUACCAUUCCCUGCUCUCUGACUCCGGAUGAACUCCUACUGAUAAGGGUUCAGUACGGAGUUUCUUCGAAGUACGAUCUGGAGCUUUCUGGUCCCGCUGACCGGGCUAGCACCCCUCCUCCUGGCUGCUUCUGCCUGU
rnacentral:lncRNA from 1 species